ACAAACACGUAUACAUAGGAGAUGCAUCUUUUUAAACACAUAGUGUUAGUGUUAAAAAGAUGCAUCUGCACAUUUAAAGAAAUGUUUGGUAACAAAAUCAGUGAGCAAAAAGAAACCCAGGAGUACACCUGAAAAUGAGUUUAAGCUUGCAAAUGAUUCUUUUUUAUUGCUUUUUUUUUUUUUUUACAAAAAUGAUGGUACCUUACUUAAAUUGUGAUCUUUUUUCAAUUUCAAUGCAAGCUGCCUGAGCAUUUAAAUGUAGCCCUGCUAAUAUGUACACAUACUCACAUUAAAGUACACUGGUACUACAUAGAAUAUAAUUACUCUAAAAUACACAAGAAAGAGGCCGUUCCUUGUGCACAAAAAAACUUAUUUUCCUUGCUAAACCGCUACCUCUUCGCCUGCAGAUGGCAACCUAACCAGACCACCCCUCCAAAACUAGCCUUUUCCUUUUUUCCAUUUCAGCUGAGCCCACAGCUGCAGUAUUCGCUAAGAGAUCCCUAAACCCUGGGAAGGUUAUUCUGACCAGCCUAGUUUCAGGAUUUCACUGCAGAGACACGACGGUGGAGGUUUAUCGGGAUGAUGACAUCAUCACUGAAGAAGACGGCCUUUUGUCCUCUGGGAUCAGACCAAACGGGGAUGGGACCUGCCAGCUGAGAAAGAGUUUGGAGAUCUCUAACAGCAUUGAAGCAUCAUAUAGCUGUGAAGUCCAGUUCAGAAGUCUUAAGCAACGGGUCAAAUGGGAUGGGAAGAUAUGGGGCCAGGCUGAACCAAAGCAAGACUAUGACACUGGACAUUACUACUGGUUUCUUAUGGUGCUACCUGUGUUGGCCAUUGGUUUACUAUUUGGGGUUUCCAUUUUCAUACUGAGACGCAAAUGCUGCAAACAGGCUGCACCAAAAAUAAAUACAAAUGGAGCAGACCAAUUUUUCGAUGCACCAGAGGAACCCAGAUCAGCAGCUUAAUCAGGAUUCAAGGGAGAAAAUCAACACCAGCCAUCCAACACAUGCAGCAGAUCUUUUGAAUUGACUGCAAAUUUAGCAAUCCUACUGUAUAAAUGAUGCAAUGUAAAUGCUGUGUAAAUAAUUGCGUAAAUAGUUGUGCAGGUUGCUCUGGAUAAGAGCGCCUGCUAAAAUGGCUGUAAUGUAGUGUUCUUCCUCCUAUUUUGACUUACGUUAGGUCAGAAUAAUGUUCACUGUGUGAACCGAACUGUGUCAUUGGCUAUAAAUAACUGUACGAAAUGAGUAUUGUACCUUAUCGAACCUGUGUUCUGUAGCUGUUGCAAUGACCAUCCUAUGCACUCUUGUAUGUCACUUUGGAUAAAAGCAUCUGCCAAAUAAAUGUAAUGUAAUGUAAAGUGGCUCUUAGAGAGGGUACCAUAACUAAAAUACCCCAGGGUUCUCCCCUAAGAGUGUAACUGAGGCAGUGCAGUGCAGCCCUCUGUUCCCUCACUGAAGUCUAAUUACAGUUAGUCAGCUGGCCGAUGACACUGCUAUAUUUCUUCAAAAUAAAUUCCACAUUAUAAUAAAUUGAUAAAUGCUUUUUAUCUUUUUUACUCUGUCAGCUUUGAAUGUCACGGUUGUGUAUUUUGUAUUUUGUAUGUUAAAAUAAAAAUGAUUCAAUAUAAGGUG